CCUCCCAGUUCUGCAUACCCGCCUCUGGACCGGAUGAAGCAGCUGAUUGGUCAACCUGGUUGGGACUCGGGGCGGAGAUUGGGUGAUUGGCGGUAACGCCCCGGGAUAGCCAAGCUGGAAGCAGGGGAAGCUCGAGCAGUCUCCCGGCUGCCGCGCGGCCGAGUGUGCUUAUUGGACCAUGUGCUGCUAUGUAUGCCUGAAGUACUUGAAAUGCAAAUUUGGAGAGACUUUGCCAUCUAAAUGCUUGGCUGGAUUAAGCGCCUAAUUAGGAUGGUUUUUCAACAGGUUGGAGUAAGCAUGCAAUCGGUACUUUGGUCUGGGAAGCCAUAUGGUUCAUCUCGAAGCAUUGUAAGGAAAAUUGGUACUAAUUUAUCUCUGAUCCAGUGUCCAAGAGUUCAGUUUCAGCUUACCAGCCCUCCAGCAGAGUGGAGCCGUAGCCCUCCAGCAGAGGAUGCCGUGGUGUCUUUUGCUGAUGUUGGAUGGGUAGCCAAAGAAGAAGACGACUGUUCAACAAGACGAAGGACAGGGGUCAGAGCUAGACAGCCCCUUCAGGAUGGCCUGCCUUUCCUUGAGAAGCCGCCACGCAGGGAGUUUGCCUCACCAGACCUGUCUCCAGAGGAGCCUCAGCUGAAGACAGCCCUGGCAAAUGAGGAAGCACUGCAGAAGAUCUGUGCCCUUGAAAAUGAACUUGCUGCUCUCAGAGCUCAGAUUGCCAAAAUCGUGACCCUGCAAGAACAGCAAAAUCUCGUUGCAGGUGAUUUAGAUUCUACCACAUCUGUUACCACAGCCCCACCCUCUGUCCCACCCCCUCCCCCGCCCCCACCUCCUCCCCCCCUCCCCCCAUCGGGGCUUCACCAUGGUGGAUCUGCUAUUGACCUGAUAAAAGAGCGGAGAGAGAAAAAAGCCUGUGCGGGAAAGACCCCAGUUAAGAGCAGUCCAAAGAAACGUGAUAUGCCAAAUAUGCUAGAGAUCCUUAAAGAUAUGAACAGCGUAAAACUUCGGUCAGUAAAAAGAACAGGAUCCAAAGCCCAAACCAGUGGAUGUUAUGGACCCUGCUGCCCUCAUAGCAGAGGCUCUGAAAAAGAAAUUUGCCUUUCGAUAUCAAAGCGAUAGUCAAGGUGAGGUUGAAAAAGGAAUUCCAAAGUCUGAACCAGAGGCCACCUCAGAAACAGUGUUGUUUGGGCCACACAUGUUGAAAUCUACAGGAAAAAUGAAGGCUUUGAUUGAAAAUGUUUCAACUUCCUACUAGUGAGCUGAGGAAAAACUCCCCUUGUUCCCACUGUUGGUUUGUCAGGGCUAUUUGGCUAGUAGAAAUCAACACUAGUUAGCAUUCAGUAGUCUUCUUUAAGUCUAAUAAAAAAAGCACUGUAUGUCUGUGUUUCUUUUUAUGAGAAGGUUCUGAAGUUUUCCAUAACAUGUUUUUAAUGUGUAGCCAGGAUGUUAAAGGUUUCUAGUCUUAAUAACAAUUAUAUAGAUUUCAGAAGAAAGGACAUUGCAGAUGUGGGCUUUUAAUUCUUAACACUAACUUAUCUGAAAAUGUUUUAUAUGCAUAUAUUUGGGUAUAAAAUAGUACAUAAAAUGUAAUAAUGAUGUCAGUGAGUGGUCAGUGAUCGUUUAUUGCUCAGUGAGGGGACAGGGCUAUGACACACAUCGUUGGAAUGGAAUAUUUAGGAUUGGAAGCUUUUUGCCUUGAACAGGACUUGUACCUUAGACUCGUCUCACGUCCUUCCCAGAUGGGGAUUCACGUAGGAACCAGAUGGUGUUCGCUGCUGAAAAUUCCACAAUGUUUUCGUUUAAAGGAAAGUCAAAGACCACAAACGCUGCUUUCCCUUCAGUGCUAUCCAGUGCUGAGAAAGAAAUUGGAGUUUUCAGAUAGAAAUCAAAUUAUUGAAUGAAAUCUAGAACAAGUGAAAACCAGAAUGUACAUUUUUUCCCUAGUUUAAUAAAGGCAUCAUGAAGAUGGCUUGCUGCUUAGUUGAUAUAUAAUGGAAAUGGCAGCAUAAUGGAGUUUUAAAAUUUUUUAAUAUUGGUCAAAUGUAGUAGCUUUAUAAUGAAACACUGAAUCGGUGAGAAUUUCCUGUAAGGUGUUUAUCACUGGUCUGAGUGCUGUUCUGCUCAAGUACAUCCUGCCGCAAACCUUAGGUGCUGCGCGGGUGGGAGACGCCACUCUCGAGGAGGCCAUUCGUGAAUGCUUGAUAAAUCUCUAGGGUUUUCUGUAUUUCUGUUAAACUCAGCUACAGUUAAUGCAGAAUCUCCUACUGUGAGUAAAUAUUUGGAUUUAUUUAAAUCUAGUAAAAAGAAAUGGAGAUGGGAAGAGUAGACAUUUACUUUUAAGUUAUUGAAAAUACGUGCAAUGUUCUCAAUAUUAGGAAAUGUUACUCAGCUUACAUUUGAAGUGCGGCUUAUUUUACACAUUUGUUGAUUUACAUUACAUUGUUUCUAUUGUUUCAUAGGACUUAAAAAUUCUGCCUUUAAAAGAAAUUCAGAAAAUUUGCCUGAAUUCUAUAUUUUGACCUAAGAAAUUUAUAUUUGUAUCAGUAUUGAAUUUGGGCCAGUUCUCCCAAUUGAAGGAAGCUACUUUAUUGAAAUAAAGCAAAUUUGUAUUUUCCUUGGACCA